GAAAUGCGAUAAGUAGUGUGAAUUGCAGAAUUCAGUGAAUCAUCGAAUCUUUGAACGCACAUUGCGCCCCUUGGUAUUCCAUGGGGCAUGCCUGUUCGAGCGUCAUUUGUACCCUCAAGCUCGGCUUGGUGUUGGGUGUUUGUCCCCGUCUCCGCGCGUGGACUCGCCCCAAAGUGAUUGGCAGCCGGCGUACUGGUCCCGGAGCGCAGCACAUGUCGCGCAAACGAGUGCCUUGGUACGGCGGCGUCCAUAAGCCCCUCUCUCACGCUCUUGACCUCGGAUCAGGUAGGGAUACCCGCUGAACUUAAGC
rnacentral:misc_RNA from 1 species